rnacentral:rRNA from 1 species
UAGGGAAUCUUCCGCAAUGGGCGAAAGCCUGACGGAGCAACGCCGCGUGAGUGAUGAAGGUCUUCGGAUCGUAAAACUCUGUUAUUAGGGAAGAACAAAUGUGUAAGUAACUGUGCACGUCUUGACGGUACCUAAUCAGAAAGCCACGGCUAACUACGUGCCAGCAGCCGCGGUAAUACGUAGGUGGCAAGCGUUAUCCGGAAUUAUUGGGCGUCAAGCGCGCGUAGGCGGUUUCUUAAGUCUGAUGUGAAAGCCCACGGCUCAACCGUGGAGGGUCAUUGGAAACUGGGAAACUUGAGUGCAGAAGAGGAAAGUGGAAUUCCAUGUUUAGCGGUGAAAUGCGCAGAGAUAUGGAGGAACACCAGUGGCGAAGGCGACUUUCUGGUCUGUAACUGACGCUGAUGUGCGAAAGCGUGGGGAUCAAACAGG